GACAGAGGGUGCAAACGUUGUUCGGAAUUACUGGGCGUAAAGCGUGUGUAGGCGGUCUCAUAAGUCGGGUGUGAAAGCCCAGGGCUCAACCCUGGAAGUGCACUCGAAACUGCGAGGCUUGAGUACCGGAGAGGUUGGUGGAAUUCCCGGUGUAGCGGUGAAAUGCGUAGAGAUCGGGAGGAACAUCAGUGGCGAAGGCGGCCAUCUGGGACAACACUGACGCUGAGGCACGAAGGCCAGGGGAGCAAACGGG
rnacentral:rRNA from 1 species